CAGAGCAUAGCUAAGACAGCAAAGCGUCUCCCUUACACUGAGAAGUCGCCCGUGCAAACCAGGCUGCCCUGA
rnacentral:tRNA from 1 species